rnacentral:rRNA from 1 species
UACGUAGGGGGCAAGCGUUGUCCGGAAUCAUUGGGCGUAAAGAGCGUGUAGGCGGCCAGAAAAGUCCGCUGUGAAAACUCGAGGCUCAACUUCGAGCUGUCGGUGGAAACUUUCUGGCUAGAGUCCGGAAGAGGAGAAUGGAAUUCCUGGUGUAGCGGUGAAAUGCGCAGAUAUCAGGAAGAACACCCGUGGCGAAGGCGGUUCUCUGGGACGGUACUGACGCUGAGACGCGAAGGUCAGGGGAGCAAACGGG